UACGGAGGGUGCAAGCGUUGUCCGGAUUUAUUGGGUUUAAAGGGUGCGUAGGCGGCUCAUUAAGUCUGGGGUGAAAGCCCGUUGCUCAACAACGGAACUGCCCUGGAAACUGGUGGGCUUGAGUACAGACGAGGGUGGCGGAAUGGAUGCUGUAGCGGUGAAAUGCAUAGAUAGCAUCCAGAACCCCCGAUUGCGAAGCAGCUGCCUAGA
rnacentral:rRNA from 1 species